rfam:Camelus ferus unplaced genomic scaffold scaffold13966, whole genome shotgun sequence.
GGAGGUUACAGUUUAGUGGUAGAGUGUGUGAUUAGCAUGCACGAAGUCCUGGGUUCAAUCCCCAGUACCUCCA